UACGUAGGGUGCAAGCGUUAAUCGGAAUUACUGGGCGUAAAGCGUGCGCAGGCGGUGAUGUAAGACAGUUGUGAAAUCCCCGGGCUCAACCUGGGAACUGCAUCUGUGACUGCAUCGCUGGAGUGCGGCAGAGGGGGAUGGAAUUCCGCGUGUAGCAGUGAAAUGCGUAGAUAUGCGGAGGAACACCGAUGGCGAAGGCAGCCCCCUGGGAUAACACUGACGCUCAUGCACGAAAGCGUGGGGAGCAAACAGG
rnacentral:rRNA from 1 species